CCGAGUUUACAACUCCCAAACCCCAUGUGAACCUUACCAACCUGUUGCUUCGGCGGGACUCGCCCCGGGCGCGGCCGCGAGGCCGGCCCCGGACCAAGGCGCCCGCCGGAGGACCCAAACUCUUGUAUCUUUUUUAUAGCAUGUCUGAGUGGAAUCAUAAACAAAUGAAUCA
rnacentral:misc_RNA from 1 species